rnacentral:rRNA from 1 species
CAGUAGCCGCGGGAAUACGUAGGUCCCGAGCGUUGUCCGGAUUUAUUGGGCGUAAAGCGAGCGCAGGCGGUUAGAUAAGUCUGAAGUUAAAGGCUGUGGCUUAACCAUAGUACGCUUUGGAAACUGUUUAACUUGAGUGCAAGAGGGGAGAGUGGAAUUCCAUGUGUAGCGGUGAAAUGCGUAGAUAUAUGGAGGAACACCGGUGGCGAAAGCGGCUCUCUGGCUUGUAACUGACGCUGAGGCUCGAAAGCGUGGGUAGCGAACAGGAUUAGAUACCCCCGUAGUCCCUGUCUCUUAUACA